UACGUAGGCAGCGAGCGUUGUUCGGAAUUACUGGGCGUAAAGAGUGUGUAGGCGGUGCUCUAAGUUCGGUGUGAAAUCUCCUGGCUCAACUGGGGGGGGUGCGCCGGAAACUGGAGUGCUUGAGCGUGGGAGAGGAAAGCGGAAUUCCUGGUGUAGCGGUGAAAUGCGUAGAUAUCAGGAGGAACACCUGUGGUGUAGACGGCUUUCUGGACCAUAGCUGACGCUGAGACACGAAAGCGUGGGGAGCAAACAGG
rnacentral:rRNA from 1 species